GCCUUCGUGGUGUAAUGGUCAGCACACUUGGCGCGUAUUCGAGAGGUCCGAGGUUCGAGUCCCGGCAAGUGCA
rnacentral:tRNA from 1 species